UUUUCUUUUAGGAUUAGAUGUUAGAUUUCCCUCUUCGAACAUUGAUUUCUUGGCCUUCUAGUUGUGUGUUGGUGAUGCUUUACUUAUUGAUGGAUUAUUUUAUUUCAUGCUCGUGGCAAGUCUAAAGUCACCGUCCCUACUGUGAAAAAGCAGAAGACCCCUGGCACGACCUCUUCCUCGAGCGCUUCUGCCGAGGCCUGCCAUCCUUAUCUAUGAUUUUUAGUGGACCCCCAAGAGGAUUUAUUCCAGCUCCUUUGUGUGCGACCGCUCGACUUGAGCCGAUGUAUAGCUGGGCCGGUUUGGAGCAGUUCCACCUUGCUGAUCUUGUUCGAGCUUUUCUUACUACAGCCCC
rnacentral:lncRNA from 1 species